UCCGAAGGGCAUGCCUGUUUGAGCGUCAUUU
rnacentral:rRNA from 1 species